rnacentral:rRNA from 1 species
GACGAACGCUGGCGGCGUGCUUAACACAUGCAAGUCGAACGGAAAGGCCCUGCUUUUGUGGGGUGCUCGAGUGGCGAACGGGUGAGUAACACGUGAGUAACCUGCCCUUGACUUUGGGAUAACUUCAGGAAACUGGGGCUAAUACCGGAUAGGAGCUCCUGCUGCAUGGUGGGGGUUGGAAAGUUUCGGCGGUUGGGGAUGGACGCGCGGCUUAUCAGCUUGUUGGUGGGGUAGUGGCUUACCAAGGCUUUGACGGGUAGCCGGCCUGAGAGGGUGACCGGCCACAUUGGGACUGAGAUACGGCCCAGACUCCUACGGGAGGCAGCAGUGGGGAAUAUUGCACAAUUGGCGGAAGCCUGAUGCAGCAACGCCGCGUGCGGGAUGACGGCCUUCGGGUUGUAAACCGCUUUCGCCUGUGACGAAGCGUGAGUGACGGUAAUGGGUAAAGAAGCACCGGCUAACUACGUG